GACGCUCGUCUUUUUUCGUCUUUCAUCUCUCUGUGUCUCUUCUGCAUGGGAUUCUGGGUUGGAACGAUGUGGAAGUGCCUGAGGCUGAACCGGGCCAAUUGAUGAUAUACAAAACAUUAAAGAGUGUAUGUGUGUGUAAUAAGGGUCAAAGUGAGACUAAUGAAACAGGAUCUGUUCCUCACGUAUAAUAUGGCUUCAGAAGACUUGUCAGUGAUAUUUCUAUGGAGCUCAAUAGUAUCUGUCCUCAUGUGCUUUACACUGCAUGUAUAAAAGGGUUUCACUUUAUUUCGAUAGUCCACUGUAGACAUUCAACUAAUUAUAAGUAGCUUUGUAACAUGUUAACUAACUGUAAAAUUUAGAGCCACAUGUCAGCUAACUCUCAUUAUUUAUAACUACGUCAACUAACAUUCAUUUACAACUAAAUGUUAACUAACAUUUAUUAAUUUACAACUGCAUGGCAACUAACAUUAAUUUACAACUACAUGUCAACUAACAUUAAUUUACAACUACUCAACUAACGUUAAUUUACAACUACGUCAACUAACAUUAAUUUACAACUACAUGUCAACUAACAUUAAUUUACAACUACAUGAUAACUAACAUUAAUUUACAACUAUGUCAGCUAACAUUAAUUUACAACUACGUCAACUAACAUUAACUUACAACUACAUGUCAACUAACAUUAAUUUACAACUACAUGUCAACUAACAUUAAUUUACAACUGCAUGGAAACUAACAUUAAUUUGCAACUACGUCAACUAACAUUAACUUACAACUGCAUGGUAACUAACAUUAAUUUGCAACUACAUGGCAACUAAAAUUAAUUUGCAACUACAUCAACUAGCAUUAAUUUACAACUACAUGUCAACUAACAUUCAUUAUCAACUAAAUGUCAACUAACAUUUAUUUACAAUUGCAUAGCAACUUACAUUUAUUUACAACUACAUAGCAAGUAACAUUAAGUUAUAUUAGUAUAGUUAUAAGAAUGUCUGAUGUGGACUAUCAAUAUAAAGUGUUAUGUAACAGAGCAGCUUGAAUGUUCUUCUCAGCGACACUGAAAAAUGAAAGUCAUACAGUUUUGACCAACAUGAGGGGGAGCAAAUGAUGACAGAAUCUUUAUCUUUGGCAGUUGUUGUAGGAGUUUAGUGCGUGAUUCCAGCUGCCGAUUGUGUCCGUCUCAUUCAUAACAGCUGGAGUUCUGAUGUAGUGAAAGAGCUUGUAAGCAGGUAUGUCUCAGCAAAGUGAAGUAAGACUUUUGAAACUUUCUGCUGUAUGUGUCUGUGUGUGUGUGUGUUUACUUCAUUUCUCACCUCAGAAGGGAUUCUGGCUAUUCUCUUGCGCUCUUUCUCAGGUUCAGUAUGUAGGGAACAGCACUAAUGAGUGAAGAUCAUCAUGACUCAUCAGCAGCUCUGGGGGAGGAACACCAGACUCAUGACAAAACCUUGAUGGUGCCAGAACACUUGCCGCCCGCCCAGUCCCACAAUCACACCACCGACACAAACAUGUUUUUUUUUAAGCACACACAAAAAGGCCUCUAAUCAUUAUGACUUCAAAGUCACUGUCGUCAUUGGGUGAAACUCGUGUGGAGGGUGUGAGGCUCAUAAUCACACACACACUCGCCACUUGUGUUUAUUCUCUCAAAAAAUCAACAGUAUCCAACGUGCCAAGUGCAGCGUUCAUGCGCUCUUCUCAGAGGACAU
ensembl:lncRNA